AUUGAACGCUGGCGGCAUGCUUUACACAUGCAAGUCGAACGGUAACAGGCCGCAAGGUGCUGACGAGUGGCGAACGGGUGAGUAAUGCAUCGGAACGUGCCCAGUCGUGGGGGAUAACGCAGCGAAAGCUGCGCUAAUACCGCAUACGAUCUAUGGAUGAAAGCGGGGGACCGUAAGGCCUCGCGCGAUUGGAGCGGCCGAUGUCAGAUUAGGUAGUUGGUGGGGUAAAGGCGCACCAAGCUAACGAUCUGUAGCUGGUCUGAGAGGACGACCAGCCACACUGGGACUGAGACACGGGCGAGACGCCUACGGGAGGAAGCAGUGGGGAAUUUUGGACAAUGGGCGCAAGCCUGAUCCAGCAAUGCCGCGUGAAGGAAGAAGGCCUUCGGGUUGUAAACUGCUUUUGUACGGAACGAAACGGUCCUGGUUAAUACCCGGGGCUAAUGACGGUACCGUAAGAAUAAGCACCGGCUAACUACGUGCCAGCAGCCGCCGUAACAC
rnacentral:rRNA from 1 species